rnacentral:rRNA from 1 species
GACGAACGCUGGCGGCGUGCCUAAUACAUGCAAGUUGAGCGCUGAAGGUUGGUACUUGUACCAACUGGAUGAGCAGCGAACGGGUGAGUAACGCGUGGGGAAUCUGCCUUUGAGCGGGGGACAACAUUUGGAAACGAAUGCUAAUACCGCAUAAAAACUUUAAACACAAGUUUUAAGUUUGAAAGAUGCAAUUGCAUCACUCAAAGAUGAUCCCGCGUUGUAUUAGCUAGUUGGUGAGGUAAAGGCUCACCAAGGCGAUGAUACAUGGCCGACCUGAGAGGGUGAUCGGCCACAUUGGGACUGAGACACGGCCCAAACUCCUACGGGAGGCAGCAGUAGGGAAUCUUCGGCAAGGGACGAAAGUCUGACCGAGCAACGCCGCGUGAGUGAAGAAGGUUUUCGGAUCGUAAAACUCUGUUGGUAGAGAAGAACGUUGGUGAGAGUGGAAAGCUCAUCAAGUGACGGUAACUACCCAGAAAGGGACGGCUAACUACGUG